CAAAAAGGGCAAAAAGCACUAGUGGAUACACAUAUACAUAUACAUACACACAGGUAUAUACACAUGUAUAUACAUCUAAUAUAUAUACAUACACAUAUAUAUGUAUAGAUACUAGUCCUGUGCAUUAGGACAUUGGAGGAGGGGACUUACCAGUUGGAAUGAGGCCCAGUCGUCACAAACCAGUUUCAACUUUAUCCUCCAUUUUAGUGGGAUUAAUACUCGUAGUAACUUUGGCAGUAAUUUUGUUGGCAAUCUCAAGCGCCUUCUCAUCUUCUUCUUCUUCAGAGAUAACAUCGACAGUAGCUGCUGCUUCAGCAGCAACUGGAGACUCUCUUCCUGCUUUAUCAUCCGCUCAACCACAACCUCCACUCCUAACUACAGCGGCCGCAGCUCCUGCUCCUGCUCCUGCUCCUUCUCCUGCCCCUCAAAUAUUAGCAGCUGAUGUGUUGCAAGAGACGAUAAUCCAGAAAGUAGAGGGAGAUGCAACUAAUUAUACAGCUAAAAAGAAUGAUGACGUUGCUAAUAGAACAGUGUUCAUCAGCGGCAGCCAGCUUGAUAAAGUAGAAGCAAGUUUGGGUAGAGCAAGGUCUUCCAUAAGAGAAGCUGCUCUAGUUAGGAAUAAAACAUCUACACAUCAAGACCCUGAUUAUGUUCCUCGAGGUCCCAUAUAUCGCAACCCUAACGCCUUCCACAGGAGUUACCUAGAGAUGGAGAAAGUGUUCAAGAUCUACGUAUACGAAGAAGGAGAGGUUCCAAUAUUUCACGACGGACCAUGCAGGAGUAUAUAUUCAUCGGAGGGAAGGUUUAUUCAUGAGAUGGAGAAGGGCAAAAUGUACCGUACAAAAGACCCUCACAAGGCACUUGUUUAUUUCCUUCCAUUCAGUGUGGUUAACAUGGUUCAGUAUAUCUAUAUGCCUGAAACCUUUGAUCGAAGUGGCAUGAAGCGUGCUGUGGUCGACUACAUCAAUCUCAUCUCUCACAAACAUCCCUUCUGGAAUCGAAGCCUCGGUGCCGAUCAUUUCAUGUUGUCCUGUCACGAUUGGGGACCAACUACGACGUCCUUCGUCCCCGACUUAUUCCACAACUCCAUCAGAGUUUUGUGCAAUGCGAACACUUCAGAAGGAUUCAAUCCAUUGAAAGAUGCGUCAUUUCCAGAGAUUAAUUUGAAAACAUCGGAGAUGCCAGGAAUUGGCGGUCGGCCUCCAUCGAAGCGAUCCACACUAGCUUUCUUUGCAGGGCGUCUACACGGCCACAUCAGGUACCUUCUCCUAAACGAAUGGAAAGGCAAAGACCAAGAUGUGCAAGUUUAUGACCAACUUCCUCGGAGAGUGUCGUACGAGAACAUGCUCAAGAGUAGCAAGUUUUGCUUAUGCCCUAGCGGGUACGAAGUGGCAAGUCCAAGAGUGGUGGAAGCAAUUUAUGCCGAGUGUGUGCCGGUGUUGAUUUCAGAUGGUUAUGUUCCUCCAUUCAGCGAUGUUUUGAACUGGAAGUCAUUUUCUGUACAAAUUCCGGUCAAGAAUAUAUCCGACAUCAAGACCAUAUUGACAGCCAUAUCGAGCAGACAGUACCUCCGAAUGCAGAGGAGGGUGAAACAAGUGACGACAUUUUUUGGUGAAUGGACCCCCGAAGAGAUACGAUGUUUUCCACAUGAUUGUUCACUCCAUCUGGCUCAGACGAUUAAACAUUCGCAUUCAAGAUGUAUUCACCUAAUUGAGUUCAUCUAUUUAAUUAAUAAAAGAGAUAUUUUGGAUGCAAUCC